UACGUAGGGGGCAAGCGUUGUCCGGAAUCAUUGGGCGUAAAGCGCGUGUAGGCGGCUUGAUAAGUCUGUUGUGAAAGUCCAGGGCUCAACCCUGGAAUGGCGAUGGAUACUGUCAAGCUCGAGUCCGGAAGAGGCGAGUGGAAUUCCUGGUGUAGCGGUGAAAUGCGCAGAUAUCAGGAGGAACACCAAUGGCGAAGGCAGCUCGCUGGGACGGUACUGACGCUGAGACGCGAAAGCGUGGGGAGCAAACAGG
rnacentral:rRNA from 1 species